GAUGAAGAACGUAGUGAAAUGCGAUAAGUAAUGUGAAUUGCAGAAUUCAGUGAAUCAUCGAAUCUUUGAACGCACAUAGCGCCCCUUGGUAUUCCGAGGGGCAUGCCUGUUCGAGCGUCAUUAUAACCCCUCAAGCUCAGCUUGGUGUUGGGGCCUGCCGCACGGGCAGCCCUUAAAAUCAGUGGCGGUGCCAUCUGGCUCUAAGCGUAGUAAUUCUUCUCGCUAUAGAGUCCCGGUGGAUGCUUGCCAUUAACCCCCAAUUUUCUAUGGUUGACCUCGGAUCAGGUAGGGAUACCCGCUGAACUUAAGCAUAUCAAUAAGCGGAGGA
rnacentral:misc_RNA from 1 species